rnacentral:sRNA from 1 species
GUUAGUGUGUCCUGUAAAUGCACACAGUUGGAAUCAACAGGACUCGGCCUUAGUAGUAGCAGACUAAGAACAACUCUAAACAGAAUACAAGAAAGCCUUAUUGAUCUAGAAGUUUCAGCUGAUCCUACUGCCACACUCACAGCAGCAGAAGAAAGAAAGGAGAAGGUGCCAAGUCCACACCUCAGUCACCUAGUGGUUUUGACAUCUGGGGAUACGUUGCAUGGGUUGGCAGAAAGAGUGGUAGCCACGGAAUCCUUGGUAUUCUUGGCUGAACAGUUUGAGUUCCUUCAGCCACAUCUGGAUGCUGUGAUGCCUGCAGUCAAAAAGCCCUUUCUUCAGCAGUUCUAUUCUCAGUCUCAACCGCCAGUGAACUACGCAAACCAAUAUACUGGAUUGUAGCUGGUAAAGCCCUUGAUUAUGAACAGAUGCUGCUCCUCAUGGCUAAUGUGAAAUGGGAUGUAAAAGAAAUUAUGUCACAGCACAAUAUAUAUGUAGAUGCACUAUUAAAGGAAUUUGAGCAGUUUAACAGGAGGCUAAAUGAAGUUUCUAAGAGAGUUCGCAUACCCUUGCCUGUGUCUAAUAUACUUUGGGAACAUUGUAUACGAUUGGCUAAUCGAACUAUCGUAGAAGGAUAUGCCAAUGUCAAGAAGUGCAGUAAUGAGGGUCGUGCCCUGAUGCAAUUGGAUUUUCAACAGUUUUUAAUGAAACUUGAAAAACUAACAGAUAUUAGACCCAUUCCUGAUAAAGAAUUUGUGGAAACUUAUAUUAAAGCUUAUUACUUAACUGAGAAUGACAUGGAACGCUGGAUCAAAGAGCACA